rnacentral:rRNA from 1 species
UUAAGCGACUAAGCGUACACGGUGGAUGCCCUGGCAGUCAGAGGCGAUGAAGGACGUGCUAAUCUGCGAUAAGCGUCGGUAAGGUGAUAUGAACCGUUAUAACCGGCGAUUUCCGAAUGGGGAAACCCAGUGUGUUUCGACACACUAUCAUUAACUGAAUCCAUAGGUUAAUGAGGCGAACCGGGGGAACUGAAACAUCUAAGUACCCCGAGGAAAAGAAAUCAACCGAGAUUCCCCCAGUAGCGGCGAGCGAACGGGGAGCAGCCCAGAGCCUGAAUCAGUGUGUGUGUUAGUGGAAGCGUCUGGAAAGGCGUGCGAUACAGGGUGACAGCCCCGUACACAAAAAUGCACAUAUUGUGAGCUCGAUGAGUAGGGCGGGACACGUGGUAUCCUGUCUGAAUAUGGGGGGACCAUCCUCCAAGGCUAAAUACUCCUGACUGACCGAUAGUGAACCAGUACCGUGAGGGAAAGGCGAAAAGAACCCCGGCGAGGGGAGUGAAAAAGAACCUGAAACCGUGUACGUACAAGCAGUGGGAGCACGCUUAGGCGUGUGACUGCGUACCUUUUGUAUAAUGGGUCAGCGACUUAUAUUCUGUAGCAAGGUUAACCGAAUAGGGGAGCCGAAGGGAAACCGAGUCUUAACUGGGCGUUAAGUUGCAGGGUAUAGACCCGAAACCCGGUGAUCUAGCCAUGGGCAGGUUGAAGGUUGGGUAACACUAACUGGAGGACCGAACCGACUAAUGUUGAAAAAUUAGCGGAUGACUUGUGGCUGGGGGUGAAAGGCCAAUCAAACCGGGAGAUAGCUGGUUCUCCCCGAAAGCUAUUUAGGUAGCGCCUCGUGAAUUCAUCUCCGGGGGUAGAGCACUGUUUCGGCAAGGGGGUCAUCCCGACUUACCAACCCGAUGCAAACUGCGAAUACCGGAGAAUGUUAUCACGGGAGACACACGGCGGGUGCUAACGUCCGUCGUGAAGAGGGAAACAACCCAGACCGCCAGCUAAGGUCCCAAAGUCAUGGUUAAGUGGGAAACGAUGUGGGAAGGCCCAGACAGCCAGGAUGUUGGCUUAGAAGCAGCCAUCAUUUAAAGAAAGCGUAAUAGCUCACUGGUCGAGUCGGCCUGCGCGGAAGAUGUAACGGGGCUAAACCAUGCACCGAAGCUGCGGCAGCGACGCUUAUGCGUUGUUGGGUAGGGGAGCGUUCUGUAAGCCUGUGAAGGUGUGCUGUGAGGCAUGCUGGAGGUAUCAGAAGUGCGAAUGCUGACAUAAGUAACGAUAAAGCGGGUGAAAAGCCCGCUCGCCGGAAGACCAAGGGUUCCUGUCCAACGUUAAUCGGGGCAGGGUGAGUCGACCCCUAAGGCGAGGCCGAAAGGCGUAGUCGAUGGGAAACAGGUUAAUAUUCCUGUACUUGGUGUUACUGCGAAGGGGGGACGGAGAAGGCUAUGUUGGCCGGGCGACGGUUGUCCCGGUUUAAGCGUGUAGGCUGGUUUUCCAGGCAAAUCCGGAAAAUCAAGGCUGAGGCGUGAUGACGAGGCACUACGGUGCUGAAGCAACAAAUGCCCUGCUUCCAGGAAAAGCCUCUAAGCAUCAGGUAACAUCAAAUCGUACCCCAAACCGACACAGGUGGUCAGGUAGAGAAUACCAAGGCGCUUGAGAGAACUCGGGUGAAGGAACUAGGCAAAAUGGUGCCGUAACUUCGGGAGAAGGCACGCUGAUAUGUAGGUGAAGUCCCUUGCGGAUGGAGCUGAAAUCAGUCGAAGAUACCAGCUGGCUGCAACUGUUUAUUAAAAACACAGCACUGUGCAAACACGAAAGUGGACGUAUACGGUGUGACGCCUGCCCGGUGCCGGAAGGUUAAUUGAUGGGGUCAGCGCAAGCGAAGCUCUUGAUCGAAGCCCCGGUAAACGGCGGCCGUAACUAUAACGGUCCUAAGGUAGCGAAAUUCCUUGUCGGGUAAGUUCCGACCUGCACGAAUGGCGUAAUGAUGGCCAGGCUGUCUCCACCCGAGACUCAGUGAAAUUGAACUCGCUGUGAAGAUGCAGUGUACCCGCGGCAAGACGGAAAGACCCCGUGAACCUUUACUAUAGCUUGACACUGAACAUUGAGCCUUGAUGUGUAGGAUAGGUGGGAGGCUUUGAAGUGUGGACGCCAGUCUGCAUGGAGCCGACCUUGAAAUACCACCCUUUAAUGUUUGAUGUUCUAACGUUGACCCGUAAUCCGGGUUGCGGACAGUGUCUGGUGGGUAGUUUGACUGGGGCGGUCUCCUCCUAAAGAGUAACGGAGGAGCACGAAGGUUGGCUAAUCCUGGUCGGACAUCAGGAGGUUAGUGCAAUGGCAUAAGCCAGCUUGACUGCGAGCGUGACGGCGCGAGCAGGUGCGAAAGCAGGUCAUAGUGAUCCGGUGGUUCUGAAUGGAAGGGCCAUCGCUCAACGGAUAAAAGGUACUCCGGGGAUAACAGGCUGAUACCGCCCAAGAGUUCAUAUCGACGGCGGUGUUUGGCACCUCGAUGUCGGCUCAUCACAUCCUGGGGCUGAAGUAGGUCCCAAGGGUAUGGCUGUUCGCCAUUUAAAGUGGUACGCGAGCUGGGUUUAGAACGUCGUGAGACAGUUCGGUCCCUAUCUGCCGUGGGCGCUGGAGAACUGAGGGGGGCUGCUCCUAGUACGAGAGGACCGGAGUGGACGCAUCACUGGUGUUCGGGUUGUCAUGCCAAUGGCACUGCCCGGUAGCUAAAUGCGGAAGAGAUAAGUGCUGAAAGCAUCUAAGCACGAAACUUGCCCCGAGAUGAGUUCUCCCUGACUCCUUGAGAGUCCUGAAGGAACGUUGAAGACGACGACGUUGAUAGGCCGGGUGUGUAAGCGCAGCGAUGCGUUGAGCUAACCGGUACUAAUGAACCGUGAGGCUUAACCUU